UGCAUAAAUUGUGUUUGACUGAAAAGCUUAUUUUGAAAUAUUCUACAUUCUACGAAUGAUAAAACUGCUAGACGGUAAGAUUUGUGAAGGAGCGCCACUGGUAGGAGCGUUUGAGUUAUAUAGUGGUUUUCAAUUUGCAUAACACUGACUGUAAAAUAUGUAUUUUAGGUAUGGGAAUUGCAUAUUUUGAGUUUUGAUAUUUGGUAUAUGGUCAUUUGGUCUACUUUUUGGGCUAGUUUUGACUGGUCAUUGUGCUAGUUUAGUUACGCAGACCGGGCAACCCUGAAAUCCAGUAUCAUGGUCUGGCCAAUCCUAUUCCAAACAUCAAUGAUCUGACCUGAUAUUUCGCUCAAAGUGAUCAGAUUCUAACAUUAUUUCUCCUGUGUUUUCAGGCUCUUCUCUGAUCAUCCCUCUGGUUCUGUUUUUUCUGGUUCUGAUCACAGCUGGACUCUUAUUACUGUUUUUCUGUAAGAAGCGUCAGUCUCAAGGUGGUGAUUCGUCAUCUCAGACUGGACCAGGAAAACAUGAAGUGGUUUCUCACACUGGUUGUGAUUAUGAGGAGAUUAAAGAUGCUCACACACAAUUACCCACAAACCCCUCUGAUUCUAACUGCGUUUACACUACAGUUCAGAAAGCCACUGGUGACUCUCAGUGCUGCAUCACAUCUGCUGAGGAUCUGAAUUAUGCUGUGGUGAAUUUCCACAAGAAAUCUGACUGUCCUGACAGUGUCAGUAGCAGGAAUAAUCAGGAUUACAGUGAAUACGCUGCUGUCAAUCAUCUCACUGCUUGACCAACAACAGCAGAGAAUAUAAAUGAGCUGAAUGUUUUAUCACCUUGUCUUUAGCAUUAAGUUUGCAUGUUUGGUGUUUUUUGUAAGUCUUCAGUGAUGCUCCUUUUCCUUAUAUUUUAGUCAGUUUUGUGAAUCAGACUUUUGACUGUUGGAAUGAAGUCUGUAAUAUGCAUGAAUUAUGGAAAGCUGAAAUGCACAUAAAAGCACAAUGUCUGAGCUUUAUGAGUGUCUGUUGUGAAGCCUGAGGUCUUUUUAGCUUUUGCUCAAAAAAUGUUUAUUCCAGAAAAUUCACUCCCCACUGAUGUAAUUGUAAUGUAACAGAGACUCGUUCGAGCUCAGGUUGAGAUCCAUAUGUGGCAGAAUAAGUGAUUUAUCUUAUUGGGCUGUUUGGGGUUUGGUUUUGAGCAGACCAAUGAGGUAGAAGCGGCCGUACCAUUUAAAGACCCUUACUUUGGUGAGUGUGUAUGUAUACUGCUGAUUCCGGGUUCUCCUCUCCCUGGCAUUUCCGUUCCCGUUUUUGUUCAUGUUCAGGUAUGUUGAGACUCUGCUGACGGUGUAAUGAUGUGUUCAGUUCGAAGCUAAUAUGAAAUAGUUUAAUAGCGGAGCUGGUGGCAUAGGUGGCAAGUUUGUGGUGGAGUUUUCUCUUAGGUAGUUUGGUAUCCGCAUUAAAUUUCUUGAUCACUUGUGGUUGGAGGUAUUUUUUGUAUUGUUCAUAGUAACAGAUGUUAGCAGGUGUGUGAAUGCUGGCCGGUAGACUGAGCAAUGGCACCUGUUGUGAGUAACAAUACCGCUUUGCGUCUGGUGUUUGUUCAACCCGUUAGCUGUUUUGCUGGUCAUUUGGGCUGGUAGCUAUGAGCUUUUUGUGUGCUAGGCUUCUUAUUACAUUUAUUUUGAUUUGCUUUCAAGUAUAGUUUGUUUUUCUAGAUUUUUCUUUUUUCUGUUGCUUGUUUUUUUUUUUUUUUUUUUUUUUUUUUUUGCAAACAUUGCUCAUUUAUUUUGUUGCUGUCUUUGUGUUAUUCUUUGUUGCUAUUUCUGAUUUGGUUUUGUUCUAUUGCAGCUUUAUUACAGUAUGAAUUUCUUUUCUUUUUUUCAGUGGCGCCCCCAGAAAAUUUUAAUAGGGGUGGCCAGACGAGGCCACAGCAAUU